rnacentral:rRNA from 1 species
GUCCUUCGCAUCGGGACAUCCAUCUCGGUGGGGUCCAGAUCGGCGACGUUGUUCUGGUUUGACAGAUGGGCUGGAGACUCCCCCUUCGCCGCGCGCUUCCCCGACCUCUUCUCCAUCGCAGUAGCACCCUUGAUCUCUGUCGAGAGGGCCCUUAUCAACCUCGGGCGCCUUGCUUUUCGGAGGCCCUUUGGUCCCCCGGAAUCCGCCGCUUGGCGUGAGUUACUAGACUGCGUUGCUCUUCACGAGCCUGUGGUGGACAGUGGCCCUGACCAGGUGAGAUGGCGUCUCGAACCAUCGGGCCAAUUCUCCACCAAGUCUCUGUACCAGGCCAUCGCUCCCUCCUCCGCCCCUCCCCCCUUUACGGUGUGGUCCAUCCGCCUGCCCCUAAAAAUCCGGAUCUUCAUGUGGCAGUGGAUUCGCGGUCGACUUCCGUCUGGCGUCGAGGUUCGCAAGCGCAAUGGUCUGGGCUCCGGCCUCUGCCCGCUUUGCGGCGUCCCUGAAGACUCGAAUCACAUCCUCUUCUCCUGCGUAUCCGCGCAAUUCGUGUGGAGCUGCUUCCGUGACGUGGUGGUGGAAAUUGGUGUCACACCAACUUCCCCGACCUAUAUGACGAGCUCCAGUCCUCCCCCUUGA